rnacentral:rRNA from 1 species
AGAACGAACGCUGGCGGCAUGCCUAAUACAUGCAAGUCGAACGAACACUUCGGUGUUAGUGGCGCACGGGUGCGUAACGCGUGGGAAUCUGCCCUUGGGUUCGGAAUAACAGUUGGAAACGACUGCUAAUACCGGAUGAUAUCGAAAGAUCAAAGAUUUAUCGCCCAGGGAUGAGCCCGCGUAGGAUUAGCUAGUUGGUGAGGUAAAGGCUCACCAAGGCGACGAUCCUUAGCUGGUCUGAGAGGAUGAUCAGCCACACUGGGACUGAGACACGGCCCAGACUCCUACGGGAGGCAGCAGUAGGGAAUAUUGGACAAUGGGCGCAAGCCUGAUCCAGCAAUGCCGCGUGAGUGAUGAAGGCCUUAGGGUUGUAAAGCUCUUUUACCCGAGAUGGUAAUGACAGUAUCGGAAGAAUAAGCCCCGACUAACUCCGUGCCCAGGUACGCCGAC